AUCUUAAACCCUACUCUCUCUCUCUCUCGGUCUCACCCAAAAAUUCCAUCAAUUCCACCGCCGUUCUGUUCAGAGAACUCUAAUCUAACGCGAAGAUGUCACGGUCGCCUUCUCACGCCUCUGCCGACCCGGUAAACCUGCGAUUCCCUCGGUGGUCAAACCCACGCAGCCCCCUCGCCGACACAUCGGACAAUUGGUGGCCGAUCCCGCGAUUCCCGGGACGGUAAAGAUCUGUUGAAGAGCUUGAAGAGGAGCGGGAAAUUGGUGGCCAAUCCCGCGGUUCCCGGCACGGUACAGAUCUGUUAACGUUGGAUCCUAAUUUGCCUCAGAUCUGUUAACGUUGAACCUCCUUUGAUUAUAUGUGCAACCAUGUUCGGUGGGAGAAGGCUGGUGCGAUGACAAAUGUGUAUGAGCUUUGUGAUGUGGGCUUGAAAGAUUUCAGUCUCCAAAGAUUUCAGUCUACAAGUAUCUAUCUCAAUCUAGAUUUGAGACCCCCCUCUGUUCUAACAGGAUGAAUUGUUAUGACUUGCUCAUUUCUUGUUUUUUGCUGGUUGUUGUGCUUGGUUGGCUGUCUGUUUGCUAGUUGUUGGUUGUUGUGCAUUAUGUGCAUUAUUGGUGGAUUUUGUAUAGCAAUUUGAUGGGUGGGUUGAACA